GAUGAACGCUGGCGGCGUGCCUAAUACAUGCAAGUCGAGCGAACGGACGAGAAGCUUGCUUCUCUGAUGUUAGCGGCGGACGGGUGAGUAACACGUGGAUAACCUACCUAUAAGACUGGGAUAACUUCGGGAAACCGGAGCUAAUACCGGAUAAUAUUUUGAACCGCAUGGUUCAAAAGUGAAAGACGGUCUUGCUGUCACUUAUAGAUGGAUCCGCGCUGCAUUAGCUAGUUGGUAAGGUAACGGCUUACCAAGGCAACGAUGCAUAGCCGACCUGAGAGGGUGAUCGGCCACACUGGAACUGAGACACGGUCCAGACUCCUACGGGAGGCAGCAGUAGGGAAUCUUCCGCAAUGGGCGAAAGCCUGACGGAGCAACGCCGCGUGAGUGAUGAAGGUCUUCGGAUCGUAAAACUCUGUUAUUAGGGAAGAACAUAUGUGUAAGUAACUGUGCACAUCUUGACGGUACCUAAUCAGAAAGCCACGGCUAACUACGUGCCAGCAGCCGCGGUAAUACGUAGGUGGCAAGCGUUAUCCGGAAUUAUUGGGCGUAAAGCGCGCGUAGGCGGUUUUUUAAGUCUGAUGUGAAAGCCCACGGCUCAACCGUGGAGGGUCAUUGGAAACUGGAAAACUUGAGUGCAGAAGAGGAAAGUGGAAUUCCAUGUGUAGCGGUGAAAUGCGCAGAGAUAUGGAGGAACACCAGUGGCGAAGGCGACUUUCUGGUCUGUAACUGACGCUGAUGUGCGAAAGCGUGGGGAUCAAACAGGAUUAGAUACCCUGGUAGCCCACGCCGUAAACGAUGAGUGCUAAGUGUUAGGGGGUUUCCGCCCCUUAGUGCUGCAGCUAACGCAUUAAGCACUCCGCCUGGGGAGUACGACCGCAAGGUUGAAACUCAAAGGAAUUGACGGGGACCCGCACAAGCGGUGGAGCAUGUGGUUUAAUUCGAAGCAACGCGAAGAACCUUACCAAAUCUUGACAUCCUUUGACAACUCUAGAGAUAGAGCUUUCCCCUUCGGGGGACAAAGUGACAGGUGGUGCAUGGUUGUCGUCAGCUCGUGUCGUGAGAUGUUGGGUUAAGUCCCGCAACGAGCGCAACCCUUAAGCUUAGUUGCCAUCAUUAAGUUGGGCACUCUAAGUUGACUGCCGGUGACAAACCGGAGGAAGGUGGGGAUGACGUCAAAUCAUCAUGCCCCUUAUGAUUUGGGCUACACACGUGCUACAAUGGACAAUACAAAGGGCAGCGAAACCGCGAGGUCAAGCAAAUCCCAUAAAGUUGUUCUCAGUUCGGAUUGUAGUCUGCAACUCGACUACAUGAAGCUGGAAUCGCUAGUAAUCGUAGAUCAGCAUGCUACGGUGAAUACGUUCCCGGGUCU
rnacentral:rRNA from 1 species